UACGAAGGGGGCUAGCGUUGCUCGGAAUUACUGGGCGUAAAGCGUGCGCAGGCGGUUUCGCAAGUCAGAUGUGAAAGCCCCGGGCUCAACCUGGGAAUUGCAUUUGAAACUACGAGGCUAGAGUGUGUCAGAGGGGGGUAGAAUUCCACGUGUAGCAGUGAAAUGCGUAGAGAUGUGGAGGAAUACCGAUGGCGAAGGCAGCCCCCUGGGAUAACACUGACGCUCAUGCACGAAAGCGUGGGGAGCAAACAGG
rnacentral:rRNA from 1 species